rnacentral:lncRNA from 1 species
AGAACAGUUGUAGACAAUUGUAGCUAAUGUGACCUUUCUGUUGGCAUUUGCAACAUUCAACAGAAGGCAAUCUGAGAAUAGGUGCCCAAAACAGUAACAAUUGCGACAGAAUUUACCUUUUCUGUCUGUGGCAGCAUAAACAUCUGAUUUUUCCAUAAUAGCAGAUACAAAGAUCAAGGAGAUGAGAGAAAAACUACAAAUUUGGAGCCGAAAAUGAGAAAAAGGAGGGCAAAAUUGAAAAGAGUUCACCAAAAAAUCUUAGGGAGGGUCCCACUGGCUGCCACAUCAAAUGCCACGUCAGUUGCCACGUCAGCAGAGUAAGACACGUGGCAACACGUGACAGGAGGAAGGAGACGCGUCAGCUGACACAAAGACGGAGCUGGCAAGCGAGUCAAAAAGCGCGGGCCAGGUUGGAGAGCGCGAGCCGUGCCGGGCUGGAGCAGAUAAGCGUGAGUGCUGGCGACGACACGUGACACUGUCUGGUACCGUUGAUCCUGGGCGUGGAUUCAACGGUUCUGGAUGGUGUCUGGGGAGAGAGGAACUUGAAACGGUGAGCGGCCUUCUGGUGGCACGUGAUGGUGCGUCCGGCCGCGGUAGGCGGCGAGUUCGGCAGCGUUGGAAAGCUUGCAACAAGGAGAAAGCGAAGGUGGCGGCAGUGACGAACCAAGGCGUUGGGAAGAAGUCGAAAACUAAGGACAAAGUACUGCCGGUGAAGCAAGAAAGGAACUAGAAACUAAUUGUUUCUAGAAAAAACAAAUAACCUAAACUCUUGAUACCAUGUUAGAAACAAGAGAGUAAUCUGAAAUAGUGUAUGGUUGAGAAAAAGUACAAUAUACAAGAGGUAUAUAUAGCUACUAGUAGAAUCAAAGUAAUAAAAGCAUAGAAUCCUACAAUUAAUAAAUAGAUACGCUAUUUAAAUACAAAUGAUACUAAUUGAUCUAAUUUGAUUCUAAUUAUUCUCUUAAAUACUCUAUAUUGUUGUUAACGUCCCACUUAUACUAAGCGUAGGCGGCUCCAACGAGAUGGAAGGAGAGAACGUGAAUCCUCUAAUCUCGCGGAAUAUCAAAGACCUCAAAGCAUUGUCGAGCUCAAAAAACCUAAUCCUCCACAUUUUUGUCUUUAAAAUGUGGGAGUCAAUUUCAAACUUCGCAACCAUUGAGGGUCCAUCCCACUGACGACGGAAUUAGCACCGAUCCAAUGAUUAUUAUGAUCAGAAUUGUUAUAAUUAAAAAAUUUAAAAUUGGAUUAUUAUUUUUCUUGUAAAAAUAAGAAAAAGGCCUAUCUAAUAACAUUAAAAAUAUGUGGUUUUAUGAAGCUUGUGACUAACAAUUAUUUGUUUACAAAUUGGCUUUUUUUUUGUUUUACAUUAAAAAUGGCAGUAGUGAGUAAGGUUGGUUCCAAAUGGUAAACACGCCGCGAGAUUCCCAAACCCAUUUGUUUAAAGUGAAUAGAUAAAAUAAAUAACAAUAAUAAUAAAGUGAGAAUAAGAAUCCAACCCCACCGAACUAGUUUUGAUUAAUUUUAAGUGCGUUUGAUGCCAGAGAGAUGCAGAGUGUGAUGAGGCCAUUAACGAGGGAGAUUCAUCUUCCACCACACACAUACGUUUUGAUAACGACAAUUAUAUUCGCUCUCAUACGGCAACUCGAAUCGUCAUUCGGUCAUUCCUCAAGUUUUUAUGUUAUUUGUUUUCUCUUUUUAAGCAAAAAGAAAAAAGAGGCAAUGUCUCUUUCUCUCUGCUGGAAAUUAAAGCUGACGUCCAAAUAAUAAUAAUAAUCUAUAUUUAUAUGUGCACCAAUAUUUUAAAUUAUUACAUGUUCCGUAUGGUCUAGUCGCUUUUUAAUUUGAAUAUGGAAGUAAAGGAAGUGUUGGAUUUCUGUACAGGAAGAAGGAGUGUUUCAUCUCGUUGUGAGAUCAGAGAAAGCAGAACUCGGACGGAUCCUGCGAGUUGUGUCCCUCAAAAUGUUUCCACGUUUCAGAUUUCAAAUUACAUCAGCUGCAAAUCGGACCAUGCGAUUUGUGAAGCAAAAUUUCAUGACCAAAGAACUCACAUGGUCCGAAUUGUGUACUCUGAAUUUUUUCAAUUUUUUAACAUAAAUCGGAUCCUCCGAUUUGUGUACUCUGAAUUUUUUUCAACUUUUUAAACACAAAUCGGAUGUACUUCCACAAUUUUAAAAAAUACCAAAAAUUACCAUAUUAAAAUAUAUCACUUAUCUUGCUUCUAUAUCAAAAUUUUUUAGUCUGGUCUAGUUUGGUUGCGUAUGUAUGUGCAGCAGCUAUACAUAUAUAUGGGUAUAUGUAUAUAUCAAAAUCAGUGAUUUUAUAUUAAUAACUAAUUUCAGUAUAUAUAUAUAUAUAUUAAGUUACUUGUUUAACCUUAACUGGAACUUUAAUUUCCAUGCAUAAUAGUAUUGGUAUUGAUAUACGUUAGUCAGAAACAACAUGCAAGAUACACGCAAAUGAAUAAUGUCCAGAAAAAUAAGUCAUUUUUAUAAUUAAGUAUGGUUAAACGAGUUCAAUUCUGCUACGUUAAAUUAUGUAUUAUAUUAUGUAUAUAUAUCUUCGCUAUUAUAGUUUCAAAAACUUUAACUGUUGCGUUUAUAUAUAUAUAUAUAUAUAUAUAUAUAAUAAUUUAAUUUAUUUUUAAUAUAUAUUUAAUAUUUAAUUAAUGUAUAUUUUAUACUAAUAACUAAUUUUAGUAGUGACCUAAUAUAAUUAUGCUUGAGUGUUACAACUUACGAUGGUUUUCUUUUUAGUAGCUAGUAAGGAUAUUUUAACAAAAAUAUUUGACUCAAUAUCGCAUAUUAACAGCUAUAUAUAUGAUUGGAUGGCACAGUCUAAAACUUAAUGGCGUAUACCUAAUUUUAUUACUAAAAUUUAUGCAUGUUAGUACUACUUAGAUUAUGUAUUAAUAGUAAAGACAAAACUAACGAUAUAUAGAACUUGUUCUUUACGGCAGAUCACAAUCUAAUGAAUAAUACUAAGAAAACUUCAGGGCAAAUUAUGUGGUGUGUAGCAAGUUGCAUAUACCACGCACGCAGGAAAAAAAUAUAAAAUAAAAGAGAAAGAGAAUGCAUGACCAAAAAGUGAUCAAAUUACUCAUAGUUUCUUUGAACAAGUAGUGUUUGUGAAAAGAGCAACGAUAUGAUGGAAUGGGACCAUAGCAACUUGGUAGGUAACGCCAAAUUGGUCAUUUUUUGUCGAUAUACAUAUCUGUUGUCUUUAUUUUCCUCCUUUAAUUUCUAUUGUUUGGUGGUGGGCUGAUGGCAUCUAAUUUAAGUCCAAAUUAACUGUGUAACUGUUACAUAUGGUCCGUAUUUUCUAACCUUUAGUUUUUAAUGACUCAGAUCAAAUGCAUUCGUACGUCUGGGAAGGGACCUAAGUUUCUGCCCUGCUAGUUGGUAGUGAUGGCCACCAUAGCCAUCAGAUUAAUUACCAAUGCAACACUCUUAUUGUACGGACAGCCUCAUUAUUAAGGUAUCACAAUUACACAGUAUAUGUGUCAUAAUUUGUAUUUUGGAAGAACCUCAAAUAAAUUAUUUAAAUUUUAUGCCUAUCAUAUUGGUAGACGUGAAAUUCAAGCAGUCCAGAUUCUAGAUGGUCCUCCACUUUUAUUUGUGUAUAGCUAUAUACUCAAUCAAGGCCAAAAAUCCGUUUCACCCUUUUGCACUAACAUUGAUGUACAUUUAAAAUGACGGUUUGAUCUAGACUGAGAUUUGACAACCGUUGAUUAUUGGCACUUAUUUCAAUCUCUAUUUUCCGUCUCUAUUUCUCAAUCUCAAUCUUCCUUCUAAACACAGCAUUAAAUUCUCAUCCACUAUUGGUCUUAGUCAAUUUUCUAACACAGAUGCAUCUAUUGCAGGGCAAGGAAUUUUCCCACUUCAACUAUAGCGUUGCGUGCCUCUUUGACCUGUUUAGUGGAGCGUGAGAGGCAGCUGAGAAGAAUUGCGCAUGGCGAACAGGCCCAGUGGACCAAAAACAGGGUCAUAGUAACAUCCGAAUUAUAUAGCUCUCCCUUUUUCGUAUUCUAAAGUACUUAUUUGGGUUUACUGACUAAAAAUACAGAUAUUGGGCUUUAGACUCAUAGCGUUAGACCACACAAAAUUUUUGUGAUCGCACAAGCUCCCCCAACACCCGUCCAUAGCAUGACUGGAAAUGACAGAAGGUGAAGCUGCAAAUCAGGUUCAAUUUUGGGACGGAUUUCAUAGCUACCAAUUGAUCCUGUAAAUUGUAGUCAUUGACACCUCUCCCUUCCUCGCGCUCUCCAUCUCGCAACAAUUGCAGCAGCAGCGUUCUCUCAUCUCUCUCGAUCAGAUAGCAUUGUCAGAUUGGAGUUCAACUUUAAUGUUUCAGGACCAUAUCAGGGAAUCGGGCUAGUCGUAGCAGGAGGGGCGUCUCGGCGUCAGGGACCAAAGCAGCGCAGUCAACAAUGUCAGGAUGACAUCAGAGACACCAGCGUCAGAGUAACUCAUCGUCUAGCAACAGGACGAGCGGUUUCAUAACUUCACUUUUGAUACCAAUUCUUUGUUCGGUAGCAGAGCAUUAUGAGCAGAAGAUAAAAUGCAUAAAAUUAGAGUCAAAAUGUGAGAAAUAGGUUCAACCAAGGUUGCAAGAACCACAUCGAUCAAUGAACCCAUAAGAUGAUUGAUUUAUUGGUUUAAUAGUUUUUUUUUGGUGACUUUAUUGGUUUAAUAGUUUGAUUAACUGAUUUAAUUAAAUAUUAAAAAAAUUAUUAAACAUUCAACAUAUAAUUCCAACUANNNNNNNNNNNNNNNNNNNNNNNNNNNNNNNNNNNNNNNNNNNNNNNAUGCGGAUCAAAUCACACAAUAAAUAACAAACAUAAUGUUCAACAUACAGCCAAAAAAAUUUAACCAUUAAAAAAUCAACAACCAAAAAAAUGUAACCAUAAAAAAAUCAACAACAUUAUUCAUUUUCCAUAAUAAGCAACAAUAUUUCAAAAAAAAUCAACAACUUAGAAUAAGCAGACAUUAAUAAAAUCAUUAUUAUUAACAUAACAACUCAAACAUAAACUCAACAACUCAUAAUUAAACUUAUUUCAGCAACUCAGGAUUAAAUAAGACCAUCAGAAAAUCAGCAACAACAUAAUAUUUUCCAUAAUCAGUAACAACAUUUCAAAAAAUCAGCAACUCCGAGUAAACAAACAUUAACAAAAUCAUUAUUUUAACUUAACAACUCAAACUUAAAUCCAACAACUCACAAUUAAACCCAACUCAGCAACAUAGAAUUAAACAAGGCCAUCAGAAAAUUAACAACAUUAUUCAUUUUUCAUAAUUAGCAACAUUUCAGAAAAGCAGCAACUCGCUAAGCAAACAUUAACAAAAUUAUUAUUAUUAACUUAGCAACUCAAACUUAAACCUAACAACUCACAAUUAAACUUAAAUCAGCAACUCAGAAUUAAACAAGACCUUCAGAAAAUCAGCAACAACAUCAUUCAUUUUCCAUAGUCAGCAACAUUUCAGAAAAUCAGCAACUCACUAAGCAAACACUAACAAUCAUUAUUAUUAACUCAGCAACUCAAAUUUAAACCCAGCAACUCAUAAUUAAACUUAACUCAGCAACUCAAAAUUAAACAAGAUCGUCAGAAAAUUAGCAACAAUAUCAUUCAUUUCUCAUAAUCAGCAACAACAUUUCAGAAAAUUCAAUAAUCAAUAAUAAUUAACCCAGAAGUCAGAACAAAAUAACAACAAUCCAGCCCUGUUAACAACAAUGAACAAUGAAUAAAAUUAACUCAGAAAAAAUAAUUAACCUCGAAAAACAACCAUCAACAAUCAACAUAAUUAAAUCCAGAAAAACAACAAUUAACUCCCAAAAAUGAAACUAAAGAAGCAGCAUAGGAUGGAGGCUUACAAACUCAGAAAUUCACAGUAGCUAAGCAGAAAUUAACAAACACAAAAUCAGAAAACAAAAAACCAAAUAAAAGUACAAAACAAGCAAAAUUAAAUUGAAGACCGGAAGUAAAGAAGGAAGUCAAGUGACGGCGACGGAGGAGGGCAAGUGGGAACAUACAAGUAAACAUACAAGUACCACAUUAAUCUUCUACCUGGCCAAGCCUUCUGGGAACAAAGUCAGUAGGCCAUUGGCACCACCAAUCAAGAAGAAGCCAGGGAACCUUCAAACAAAGAGGAUGAAGAACUCUAAUGAAGGCACAAGUUCUAGCAAGAAAGCUAAGACAGGUGCAACCUUGAAAAGACAACUUCGACAAUUCACCUGCAAGUACUGUUUGCAAAAAGGUCAUACCAAGAGAGAGUGUGAAAAGAAGAGGGCAGCUGAUGCUGCUCAAGCUACAGCUGAUGCUGCUGCAACUGCGGAGGCUGCUAAAGACCCUAAGAACGCUACUGCCCAAGCCACUACAACCGCUACUUCGUCCACACCUGUUGCCACUACUACUGCCUAGGCCACUGCAACUGCCACUACAACUGGUACAGCUACUGAUACUGCUACUAUUACAAACAAUAUUCCAGCUGCAACCAAUUCUGCUCUUAUUGGUCAAGCUUCAGAGAUUGAUCUGUCAUAGCCAAAUUGUUUUGAACCAAAAGAUUCUCAAAAGGUUUAACAUUAAUUCUUUAAUAUACUUUUUUAUUAAUUCUUCACUAAUAACUCUGCCAAAGGUUUAGUGGAUGAUGAAUUUGGGUUUUCAACCGUUGUUUGUGUUUUGUGUAGUUCACUGAACUAAAUGCUGAACUAGCCACAUGACCUACAAAAUUACAUGCUCGAAGAAGAUCACCACUGCCAACCCCCAUUAUAGAACUGGAGCCAAUGAAGGGUGCAAGUUCAGCCACUGCCUCAUGAUUCACAAAUAUUCUGAAGUUUGUACCGACUCCUGGAUUUAAGCAUCCACAGAAGAAGUGAAACUUAACACUAGGACAUUACACUUGCGAAGUGUUCGUCUUUUGUAAAAAAAAAUGUGACUGUGCUCACUCUAAAAAAUAGUUCAUUUUGUUAAGUUUAGUCAAGUAUGUCAUAUUACUUGCUAUGUUCAAAUACUUAUUGCUGCAAUCUGUAAAAACUAUGAAUGCUUUGUCAUAUUUUGGUUUAAAUUAAGUAAUACUAUGGAUGGUUUGAAUCAACCUUUCUAUAAAUUAUUAACAUGUACUGUUUGUUCAUUUAACAGGAUAUUACAUUAUUACAUUAUAGAAAACUAAGAUCAAUAACAAAAACCUUGUGAUGUUACCCCAAAAAAUUUUCAUUCAUUAAAUUAGGUACUUUGUUACAUUGCCAUGUUCCAUCUUGCCCACCCACCAUGCAAAGUACAUUUUUCUUUCACCAUCAUCAUCUCCUGGAACAGCAUUUUCAGGCAGCUCCCCUUGUACAUAAUCUGCCCAGACGAAUAAGCCACACCAUUUUUUUCUACUUGUCUGCAAACAACCCUCCACAAAUUAAUGUCACAGCAAAAAAAAAGCAUUGGAUUACAAAUCAGUUAUAUUCACUCACAUUAUAGUUGGGCCAACCAAAGAAGGGCUUGUUAAGGUGUGUCUCCGUCGCUGACCACCUAAGCACCGGCCGACAACCACAGCCGCACCAGUCCAGAACCCGCCCAUGCCUGCUUCGCGUUGUGCUUCUUGUCCAGUUCUCUGUCGAUGAUGACCAAUUUGAGCUUCCUGCAAUGUGGCUCCCAGUUCCUCUCAUGGGGGACAGCUAUUGGUGUAGACAAGAGAUGAAGAAGGAGACGUUGAUGUAUAGAACCAGAUUGAGGGGAGGUAGACGAAAUUUUAGGGUUUAGAAAGAGGACAAGGACUAAAUUGGGGAAUUUCAAAAUACUAUCCACGUCAUUCGUCCACAAUGAAGUCCUACCUGGCAAUAGCUGUGCCACAUAAGUAAGGUCGUCGCUGAGUCACGCCGAAAUUCCAGUAAAGGACUGUUAUGUAGCCCGGAGCGCAAUUUGGAGGACAUAAAUAGUACAAUUAAAAUCUCAAGGGCUAAAUUGGUACACGAAAUGAAUCUGGGGACCAUUAUGGAGAUUUAGUCGGUGAUGGUAGAUAGCUAGGCCUAGGGUUAGGUUUCAGUCACAGUUUCAGAGAGUGAAAGAAAGGGGGGGCUUCUUUCUUCUGAUUUUUUGUUUUAAACAAGAGCAAAACGGCAUCAUUUUUAAGUGAUGCACCGAACCGAAAACCAUAAAAAAAUUCUGUCAGUUCUAAUGGUUCAUCGAUAAAUUGUCGAUUCGGCUGAUUUUCUGAUCGGUUUUUUGUAGGAUGAUUUUAUAUCUUAAUCAAACUGGCUGAAAGAUCGGUUCCUAGUUAACUCAGUUGAACCGAUCGGUUUGGUUGAGUUUUCAGAACUAUGGGUUCAACUAAUUAACGGCCGUUAGAUCUUAAAAUCUAGAGUAAACGACAAAUAGAUUUUGACUUUUUAUUUUGCAGAUAAAUAAAUUUUCGAUUAAUUAAAAAUACAAAAACAAUUCUCACUUUCUAAAAUGCGAGACAUCUAAGUCCAUGUGGAUGACUGAUUUGACCUUAUAUAUUUUGAAUGGAAGGACUUAAAUAUCUCAUAUUUUAAAAAAUCAUGGACAAUUUUAUAUUUUUAAUUAAUUAAAAAUUUAUGUGUUUUCGAAUUAAAAAAUUAGAGACCUAUUUAUCUUUUUUCUCUAAAAUCUAUUAUGUAACCUUCAUUCUUUUUUUUUUUUGGUCAUGGGUAAGGCCUGAAACAGACCCAACCCGGAAAAAACCCACCCAAAAAGUUCAAAACAGUACAGCGUACUCUCUCUCCCUCCCAAUCCUUGGAUUUUUCCCAAAAAUUACAACCCUAUACGUGCUUCAACAGCCUAUGACAAUCUUUCUUAUCUUGAUGGCCAUAUUGUUGGUGCUUGAUGCCAUGUCGACGGAAUAGGCUCCCACCAAAGAUGCUGAAAUUGGAACUGAUUUAACUGUACCGGAACCUUCGUCGCUAACACUUCCAAUUGAAACUUCAACCAAGAUUGUUGUUUCUACUCCUAAUCCUUGGAUGUUGGUACUACGAAACACAGUUUGGAAAGAGAUCAACUACACUGACCUGAGAGAAUUUUCUUGGGUCCGAGAAAGGGAAGUUCACUUCCCCCAAUCGAUGAGAUAUGGCUUGGCUUGGUGCUAUCAACGGCUUCAGAUGAAAGUCUAUAAUGUCCUCCUUUGCUUGUAAUCUGAAGCCACCGUCGGUGACUCCUACGGUUGUUGUGGUCCCGCGCCAUUGACCCUAGAAUAAGAACUAUGAGUGUGUAGAGAGAAAACCUAGAGGAGGAGUAAAACUAGAUCUAAAAACUAAAAACUGUGUAGAAUGAAUGUUGUUUUUGGUUUCUGCAUGUUCUCUGGCUCUAGUCUGCUUUUCUGGGCCGAAAACUGGGUCAAAACAGGGCCCAAAAUCGCCCCCAGCGAAUUCUGCAGAUUAUGCAGAUCGCGCAUGUCACGCGAUCGCGUCAUUCAUACGGACGCGUCAUGCGGCGUUUUGCUUUGCCACGCGGGCGCAUCGUCCACGCCUCUGCGUCACUUGUGCUAUUCCAAUCCGCGCGGUCGCGUAAGCCAUGCGACCGCGUCACUGCGAUUUCCUCUCUUACGCGCGGUCGCGUGAGCCAUGCGGCCGCAUCACUUCUCGCUGGUCAUCUCCUUAAUUUCUUGUGUUCCUUCUAUUUUUUGCAAGCUUCCUUUCCAAUCUCCAACUCAUUCAUGUCCUAUAAAGCCUGAAACACUUAACACACAGAUCACGGCAUCAAAUGGAAUAAAGGAGAAUUAAAAUACAUAAUUAAAAGUCUCUAGGAAGCAAGUUUUCAAUCAUGUAAUAAUUUUAGGAAGGAAAUAUAAAUGCAUGCUAAUCAUAUGAAUAAGUGGGUAAAGAUCAUGAUAAAAUCACACAAUUAAACACAUUAUAAACCAUAAAAUAGUGGUUUAUCAACCUCCCCACACUUAAAAAUUAGCAUGUCCUCAUGCUUAGUUGAAGGAGAUAAAAUAAAUGAGUAGGAACAUGUAAAACUCAUGCAAUGCAAUGCAACCUAUAUAUAUGAAUGCAACUAUAUGAUUUUUAUCCACUUGAUCAAUAAUAAAUAAGCUCUUCAAAACAAUUAUAAAUCAAAUUCCACUAAUUCAAUUCUCAUGCAGUAAGAACAGAUAAAAAUGCAAGAAGGCAGCUCAUGAAAGCAGGGAAUAUAGAAUUUUAAGCAUUGAACCCUCACUGAUGAUGUAUGUACGCUCUAAUCUCUCCAGUGUAAAGGGCAAUCACUCUAUCCUUCUCUAAUCAUGCUUUCUAAUUUUUUUUUGUUCUUCUCCUAAUCAAUCAACAACAUUUAAUAUACCAAUGCAGACAUCAUGAAGUCUUUUCAAGGUUGUAAUGGGGCCAAGGUGAUGGUAAGGAUACAUAUAUGGCUAAGUAAACUUAUAAACUGAAUCUUUAAUUAACCCAAGCUUUAACAUAACCUAUGUAUAUAUUCUAUAUAACUUUAGAAUUCAUACCUAGCUACCCAGAAUUUCUCUUUCACAUUCCAUACUCAUGUAUCAACUUUUAUUUUAAUUUUAUCAUACAUGCAUUGACCUUUGAAUUCUUAACUUAACGUUGGGAUAAUUUUGUCUCCUUAUUUAUUUAUUGAAUAUUUUUUAUUUUUUUUUAAUAUAAGCAUAAAAAUAAACAUAGCUUAUCGAUGCACAUAUAUUUUUUUAAUUCUUAUAGUUUCACAUGAGUAGGUAUCCAAAUUCCCAUUCUAUUAUCAUGACACAUUCCCUUAUUAUCUUUUGUUCCCACAAUUUCCCAUACUUAAUUAGCACACACAAUUCUAUCUUAAGCUAACCAAAGAUUCAGUUUGGGAUAUAUAAUUAUUUUUCCGCUUAAGGCUAGUAAUGUGGUAGAAUAUAGAACAAAUGGGAUUUAAAGGCUCAAAGUGGCUAACAAAGGUGAUUGAAAGGGUAGGCUUAAUUUGGAUAAGUGAGCUAAACAAUUAAUGGCCUCAAUCAUAUGCAAACAUAUAAAUAUAAUAAAUAUUAGACAUAUAGGAUGAAACAAAAUAUAGAUUACAAUCAUAGAGAAGUAAACACACAAGAAUAAAAUAAUUAUGGUUAAAUAAUGUAACCAUGCAUAAAGGCUCAAAUCUCACAGGUUGUGUGUUCUUUAGCUCAAAAAUCAUGUUCCAAAUACAACUUCAAGCAAAUUUAACAUAAAAAUUUAAUUAAAAUUAGUGAAAUUUUGUUCCAAAAAUAGAGUCUUAGAAGAAACUUAUUGUCUUUUCAAUCAAGUAGAACAUGCAUGCAACUAAUCUAUUACUAUGAAAUUUAUCCUAUUCUAUAAAAGAAAAACUAACUAAAUAUCCUAAUUUAUUGGUGUUUAGGGAAGAGAAAUUACCUCCAGAAGUCAGGUACUGACCGACCUCCCCACACUUAAGGCUUUGCACCGUCCUCGGUGCCAUCUGUCAGGAACAGAGGUGGGCUGGUAGCAGUAUCUCCACAGUCGGGACCAUCAUGGCUCCCUGUGCUGGUAAAGGAAGUGGAGUCCGGGGUGUCUGAGUCCUUGAAUUUUCCCAUGAUCAGCUCCUUGAGGUAUAUGAAUCGGCGCUUGUUACGGCGCUCUCUCAUCUUAGCUUUGUGUUCCUGCCGAUCCAACCUUUCGAGUAUUUGAUGGAGCAGUUGGUCUGUGGUAGGUGCUUGUGGUGUUGAAGGAGGAAUAUCUGUAGCCGGUUUAAUAGGCUGGCCUGUAGUGGCUGCUGAAGGUCUGAUAUAUUUUCCAUUAGGGACAUAUUGAUCAUUCUGUGGAAGUAUGGCUUUGGUGUCCCCAGCUCUGAAGGAGACUCUGGCUGCGGAGACGAGAUCUGAGACCAAGGCGGGAAUAUGUAAGUUGCCCGCGAUUUGUACGUGUCCCAUGGCAUUCCGGAUGUGUCUUGGUAGGUUCAGAGGCUGGUCUGUAAGGAUGCACCAUAGUAGAACGGCCAUGUCCGCAGUGAAGGAGGACUCAUGAGUUCUCGGAAAGACGUAAUGGGACAUGAUCUGUGCCCAUACGCGAGCCUCCAAGGUAAGUGCUGAAGCCGAAAUUCCCUUAGGGCGGGUACGAUGGUAUCUGUAGAUCCAUCGGCUGCCAGGUAGUGCGAUAACUCUGAGAACGGCGUCCCAGUCAAAUUAGUACAUCUGGCACUUGAGUGCGGCUUCUUGAAAGGCGUCCAAACCUUCUGGAAUAGGGGGAAGACCUAGAGCUUUUUGAAUGGCCUCUUCUGUAAUGGGGACCUGCUUCUGACGGACAAAGACAGACUGCAGGGUUGAUAGGUGGAAGUUGGAGUAGAACUCGACUACCCAAGAAAGAUUGACCUGCCUCGGCUGUCUCUGUAGGAAACUCCAUUGUCUUUGUGCAAUUUGCGGCUCAACAAAGGUAGCAAUAUGGUUUGGGAGGAGAAGAAGGUAUUCGUUGUUGUAGCUCCUUUCUGCCAGGAUGGGGAACAUCUGCUCACAGUAGCGAUUGAAAAACCGUGCAGUGUCCUUUGUUGGGAAGGCUUUUUCUUUAUCAUCAACCUUUAUAAUCCUCUUAAGUCUCUUUGUUGAGGGUUUAACCGCAGUUGAGGAGGGUUCUGCCACUAAUGCUCUUUUUGUUCCUCUUCUUGCUGUGGAUUUGGGAGUAGCUUUCUAUUUUCCUUUCUUGGUGGCCAUUCUAAAAAAGGGAGGAGAAAGUAAAUUAAAUUCAAAGAGAUAGAGCAAGGAAGAGAACGGAAAAAGGGUAGUUAUGAAUGCAUAGUAAAAGGUAAAUGAUGUUAUCACAUGGUCAUGACUACAUGUGAAAAGUCAUCAAUGGAAAAUAGUUAGUGCAUAUGAUGACAAGUGAAUGCAAGGUGUUUAUUGGCAUGCUGGCAAAGGCAUGAGUAGCAUAGAUCAAGCAUCACUCGUAACAAAUCAUCACGUUUGUAUUGACAAUUAUUUAUAACGAAUAAAAUAAAAAAGGGAUUUUGUGAAAAACGGGCAUUUAAUAGUAGAGUAGAAUAACGUAGAAAAGUGUAAAAUGCCAUAUGGGCUUUUUCACAAACACAUAGCGUGCAUGGUGAAAUAAUGUAUGGAAAGUGUUAAUUUGAACAUGCAAGCAACCCUUUGAAAAGUAAUAUAUAAUUGCCAAACAAAUGUAGAACAAUCCACAAGCAUAUAAUGAGAAAUAAUGACUCAAAUAAAUUUCUAACACCAAGUAAAAAGGAAGAAAAUAUGAAUAAUGAAGGGAGAAAGAAAAGAAAAUAAGAUAACAUAUAAAAAUAAGAAGAAAAAUAGAAAAGUAAGGAGAGAAGAAGGAAAAGAAAACCUUGUUAAUGGGGGAGAGAGAGAGAGAGUGAGGGUGUAAAAAGGAGAAAGAAGGAAGAAGGGAGAAGGGAGGGAGAAGAAAUAAGGAGGGAAAAGAGAAAAUAGGAUUUGAGGAGAAAAAGAUAAGAUAAGUGGCAAAUCAGGGAAGCUGUGCGGCGCAAUCGACGCGGUCGCGUGGGGCACGCGGUCGCGCGACUUGCGCUGAUACUGAUUGACGCGGCCGCGUCGGUCACGCGGUCACGUGACCCGUUUUAUGCCACUGGUGCGAGGGCAGCCUUGCGCUCGCACAACUCUCUGUUCAAAAUCAUUAAUUGCCAAAUAUUGGGUGACGCGAUCGCGUAGGGCACGCGAUCGCGUGAGUGGAUAUUAGAAGGAUAUGAUGCGGUCGCGUCGGUCAUGCGGCUGCGUGGGAAGGAUUAUGCUUUCAGCACCAAUCCAGCACCACUCUAGCACAACCUUCGAUCGUGCGUCCUUUUGACGUCGAAUUCUAGGCACGCGGCCGCGUGGGUCACGCGGUCGUGUGGGAGGCCAAUGUUCCCAUGUGACGCGGACGCGUCGGCGACGCGGUCGCGUGGGGCAAUUUGUUGACACGCCUCCAGCCACGCUCCUGCGUGACUCUCUGUUUGUUUUUAUUUUCUCCCAUCUCCUUGGAACGCGGACGCGUCAAUGAUGCGGUCGCAUCGCGUAACCCUUUUUUUAUCAAUUAAAAAUAAAAGUAUGUAAAUACAGAUGCACGAAAUGUACUAAUAAAGAGAAGAGUUAUUAAAUAGAAAAAGCUAAAAAUAAAGAAAAGAACGAUCAUACCAUGGUGGGUUGUCUCCCACCUAGCACUUUGCUUUAACGUCCGUAAGUUGGACGCUCCAUUAGCUCAAUCUUCGGCUAUGUGAGGAUCUUCCAAGAGGAAGAUCUCGAGCUCCUUGUUUUUCUGCAUCCUCUCUCUAUGGUACAGCUUUAAACGAUGUCCAUUAACUUUGAUAAGUUCAGAGCUUGAAGGAUGGCUUAGGUGAUAAACUCCGUACUGUUCGGCCUUCUCUACUCUGUAUGGACCAUCCCAUCUUGAUCUCAACUUGCCUGGCAUGAGUCUCAGUCGAGAUUUGUAAAGGAGGACUAAGUCCCCAGGUUGGAACUCUUUUCUCUUAAUGUGCUGAUCAUGUACAGCCUUCAUCUUCUUGUAUAGUCUGGAGUUCUCAUAAGCUUCUAGGCAAAGGCUUUCCAAUUCUUGCAAUUGCAAUUUUCUUUCAGCUACGGCUUCCUCAAUUCCCAUGUUGCACUCCUUUACUGCCCAAAAGGCUUUGUGCUCGACUUCAACAGGGAGAUGACAAGCUUUUUCAUAGACUAAGCGGAAAGGACUCAUCCCAAUGGGUGUCUUGUAUGCGGUUCUGUAUGCCCAAAGUGCAUCUUGUAGCCUGGUGCUCCAAUCUCUUCUAUGAGGUUUGACUAUCUUCUGCAAGAUACGCUUUAUCUCUCUGUUUGACACCUCGGCUUACCCAUUAGUCUGAGGAUGGUAGGCUGUUGCAACCUUAUGAAUUAUUCCAUGCUUCUUCAUUAAUCCUGUUAGUCUCCUAUUACAAAAAUGGGUACCUUGAUCGCUCACGAUUGCUCGUGGAGAUCCAAAGCGACAAAUAAUGUGGUUUCUCACAAAGGAAACAACAGUGUUAGCAUCAUCAGUGCGGGUAGAAAUUGCUUCCACCCAUUUGGAAACGUAAUCUACAGCUAACAAUAUAUAAAAAUAACCAUUAAAAUUUGGAAAUGGACCCAUGAAGUCAAUGCCCCAAACAUCAAAAAUUUCACAGAAAAGCAUAAUUUGUUGAGGCAUUUCAUCCCUCUUGGAUAUAUUACCAAAUUUUUGGCAUGGAAAACAAGAUCUACAAAAUUCAGCAGCGUCUCUAAAAAGUGUAGGCCACCAGAAUCCACAGUCUAAGAUUUUUCUAGUUGUUCUUUGAGGGCCAAAAUGUCCUCCGCUCUCAGAUGAGUGACAGGCCUCUAAGAUGGACUGGAAUUCUGAUUGAGGCACACACCGUCUAAUUACCUGGUCAGCGCCACAUCUCUAUAAAUAUGGGUCAUCCCAUAUAUAACAUUUAGACUCGCUUUUCAGCUUGUCUCUUUGAUGCUUAGAAAAGUUUGGAGGAAAGGUGCGGCUAACUAGAUAAUUAGCUACAGGUGCAUACCAAGGGACUACCUCAGAUACUGCUUGCAGGUUAUCAAAUGGGAAAUUAUCAGCUAUAGGAGUGGGGUCAUCUGAAAUGUGCUCAAGGCAACUCAAGUGGUCUGCCACUAAAUUCUGGUUACCACUCCUAUCCUUAAUUUCUAAAUCAAAUUCUUGUAAUAAUAGUAUCCAACGUAUAAGUCUUGGUUUGGACUCCUUUUUAGCUAAUCGAUACUUUAGAGCUGCGUGGUCUGAGUACACUACUACCUUCGUACCAAGUAAAUAGGCUCAAAAUUUAUCCAGAGCAAAAAUAAUAGCAAGAAGCUCUUUCUCAGUAAUAGUGUAAUUGGACUGUGCUGCAUCUAGAGUUUUAGACGCAUAAGCAAUAACAAAAGGAUCCUUACCUUCACGCUGAGCCAAUGCUGCUCCUACUGCAUGGUUGGAAGCGUCGCACAUUAUUUCGAAUGGCUGGCUGAUAAACCCAUAUUUCAUGAGUUCUUUUGUGCCUAAUUAGAGUGGUUUAUUCAACUCUUCACCUACUUAUUCACAUUAAUUGCAUAGUUUUACUUUUCCUUCCUUAUUAUGUCAUAUAAUGAAAAAAACAUGUUUUCUAAGCUUUAAAAAUUAAUUAUUUUAAUUACCUUUAUUUCCAUUCGAUGCCGUGAUUAGUGUGUUGAGUAGUUUCAGAUUUCCUAAAGGCAGAAUGACUUAAAGGAUGAAAAAGAAAACAUACUAGAAUGGAAGGAGGAAGCAAGACGGAGCUUUAAAGAAACUGGUAUCCACGCGAUCGCAUGGAUGACGCGAUCGCGUGCCAAGCAUGAAUCAGCAGCGAUGCGGCCGCAUGCCUGACGCGACCGUGUGCCUCAAGCAGAAUACACAUGACGCGGUCGCAUGACUGACGUGACCGCGUGGCAAGGAAAAGCUCCGAAUGACGCGACCGCGUGACCCACGCGGACGCGUGACAGAGGCCACGCACCAGAAAUUACAGAAUACGCCCCCAGCAAAUUCUGAAGCUUUUUUUGGCCCAUAUCCAAGUACAGACAGCAUAGACCAGAGGUUAUAAAGCAUGGGAAUGCUUCCAUUCAAAGAGAGCUCGCAUAUAUUUUCACCUUUCAAUGAUUUAUAUUUAGUUGAGAGGGAGAUCUUCUCUCUCUCUCUUUUAGGAUUUAAGAUUUCUUCUUAUUUUAAGAGUAACUCUGGAUCCAGGUUUAAUGUUCUUUUAGUAUUACUUCUAUUUAUUUAUUCCAACAUUUGAAUUGAUUAUUAUUAUAAAUUGAUCUAAGAAUUAUUCCAUGUUACAUAUUUCUAAUUGAAUUAAUGAUAAUUUGAGGUAUUUUCAAUUGAUGAUUGUUCUCUUGAUUUAAGUUGUCAUUGCUUCCCAUCUAAGGACACUUUUAUUAUUUCAGCAAUUUACUUUUUCCCCUUUUGGUUUUGGUUAAGAAUUCAGUAACUCAACAGUUAUUACGAUUACAACCUUUAUAGCCAAUAAUAAGAACACACUUCCUCGCAGUUCCUUGAGAAGACGACCCGAGGUUUGAAUACUCGCUUAACAAUUUUUAAAGGGGUUUGUUACUUGUGACAACCAACACGUUUGUAAGAAAGGUUGAUUGCUUGGUUUAGUAACUAUACUCACAACGAGAGUUUUUAUAACCUCUAAACCAUCAAUCUUCUUGCUCUUUCAAAAUGGCGCCGUUGCCGGGGAACUGCUAACGUGUGUCUUAUUAUUGGUUAUUGUAAAUAUUUUUCUUUUGCUUGUUUAUUUAUUGUUGUUUUUCCUUUUUUUCUCACACAGAUACAAUUGAAGAUCUUUGCAAAGAAGUGGAGGAAUUCACAGAAGAGCACAAGGAAACGGAACUUGCAGAACCACCAAAAACACCUAUCCCAAGGCCAUUGCCACCCAAUACAAGCUUCAAGUGGGUACAUGGUGCACAAAAUUGUUACUCUCUUACAAUUUUGCAUACAUGACCAGCAAGUGCACUGGGUCGUUCAAGUAAUACCUUACGUGAGUAAGGGUCGAAUCCCACGGAGAUUGUUGGUUUGAAGCAAUCUAUGGUUAUCUUGUAAAUCUUAGUCAGAAAGCCAAUUAUGUUUAUCAGUUUAAAUAGUGGAAAAUAAAGGAGUGCGAAUUAAAUACUUGUUGUGCAGUAUUGGAGAAUAUGUUGGAGUAUUGGAGAUGCUUUGUCCUUUGAAUCUCUGCUUUCUCCCUAUCUUCUUCUUCACGCACGCACGUCCCUCCUAUGGCAAGCUGUGUGUUGGAGGAUCACCGUUGUCAAUGGCUACCAUCCUUCCUUUCAGUGAAAAUGGUCCAGGUGCGUUGUCACCGCAUGGCUAAUCAUCUGUAGGUUCUCGAUCAUACCGGAAUAGGAUUUGCUAUCCUUUUGCGUCUGUCACUACGCCCAGCACUCGCGAGUUUGAAGCUCGUCACAGUCAUCCAAUCCCAGAAUCCUACUAGGAAUACUACAGACAAGGUUUAGACUUUCCGGAUUCUCAAGGAUGCUGCCAAUGGAUUCUAGCUUAUACAACGGUCUAAAAGUUGUUUUAAAUACUAAACUGGUAACCUAGGUUUACAGAAAAUGAGUAGACUAUGACAGAUAGUGCAGAAAUCCACUUCUGAGGCCCACUUGGUGUGUGCUGGGGCUGAGACUGAAGCUUCUCACAUGCCUGGGCUGUUUUGGGCAUUCAACGCCAGGUUGUAACCUGUUUCUGGCGUUGAACUCCACUUUGUAACUUGUUUCUGGCGCUGGACGCCAGACAGCAGCAUGGAACUGGCGUUGAAUGCCAGUUUAUGUCAUCUAUCCUUGAGCAAAAUAUGGACUAUUAUAUAUUUCUGGAAAGCCCUGGAUGUCUACUUUCCAACGCAAUUAGAAGCGUGCCAUUUGGACUCCUGUAGCUCCAGAAAUUUCAUUUUGAGUGCAGAGAGGUCAGAAUCCAACAGCAUCAGCAAUCCUUUUUAAGCCUGAAUCAGAUUUUUGCUCAGCUCCCUCAAUUUCAGCCAGAAAAUACCUGAAAUUACAGAAAAAUACACAAACUCAUAGUAAAGUCCAGAAAUAUAAAUUUUGCCUAGAAACUAAUGAGAAUAAACUAAAAACUAACUAAAAUAUACUAAAAUCUAUGUGAAAUUAACCCCAAAAAGUGUAUAAAAUAUCCGCUCAUCACAACACCAAACUUGAACUGUUGCUUGUUCUCAAGCAACUAGACAAAUAAAAUAGAAGACUAAUAAGUCAAAAAGCAAUAAUAUCUCAGAUUUUUUGAGUGAAGCUCGGAUUCUAAUUAGAUGAGCGGGACUAGUAGCUUUUUGCUUCCGAACAGUUUUGGCAUCUCACUUUAUCCAUUGAAGAUCAGAGUGGUUGGCAUCUAUAGGAACUUAGAAUUCAGAUAGUGUUAUUGAUUCUCCUAUUUCAGUAUGAUGAUUCUUGAACACAGCUACUUUAUGAGUCUUGGCCGUGGCCCUAAGCACUUUGUUUUCCAGUAUUACCACCGGAUACAUAAAUGCCACAGACACAUAAUUGGGUGAACCCUUUUAGAUUGUGACUCAGCUUUGCUAAAGUCCCAAUUAGAGGUGUCCAGAGUUCUUAAGCACACUCUUCUUUUUGCUUUGGACCUUGACUUUAACCGCUCAGUCUCAAGUUUUCACUUGACACCUUCACGCCACAAGCACAUGGCUAGGGAUAGCCUGGUUUAGCCGCUUAGGCCAGGAUUUUAUUCCUUUAGGCCCUCCUAUCCACUGAUGCUUAAAGCCUUGGGAUCCUUUUUAUUUACCCUUGCCUUUUGGUUUUAAGAGCUUUUGGCUUUUUUUGUUUGCUUUUCUUUUUCUUUCUAUAUUUUUUUUUCUGCAAGCUUUGUUCUUUGCUGCUUUUUUUUGCUUCAAGAAACAUUUUUAUGAUUUUUCAGAUUAUCAAUAACAUGUCUCAUGUUCAUCAUUCUUUCAAGAGCCAACAUAUUUAACAGUCUUAAACAACAAAUUCAAAAGAUAUAUGCACUGUUCAAGUAUUCAUUCAGAAGACAGAAAAUAUUGCCACCACAUGUUACUAAUUAGAAUUUUUUUUCUUAUUAGAACUCGAAUUUUAUUGCCUCUUAUUCAAAAGAUCUGCUAUUUUAUUCAUGUUUGCUGAUGAUGAUAAAAAUAGACUAUAACUUAAUUGGAGAUAAAAUCAAAAUAGACAAUAAUUACUAUUAUAUGACUCCUAAGGUAAACUCCUAUAACGACAACUAUCACAGAGUUAAAGCAGAAAUUGGAAUUUAACAACCUUUGUUCUGGGAAGUGGAUGUUCCUCGAAUCUGUGGGGUGCUUGGUCCUUCAAGAGAUAACUUCUGGCGCUUUAAUUCCCUCAAGUCACGCCCUUGCUCUUCCUGUUCUUUAAUCAAGUAGCAAAGAAUUUGACUUUGUUCCUUCUGUUCCUUUAUUAUUUGUUCCAUAGCUUCUUGCAUCUUGGUAACUGAUGUUUCAAGAUACUCCCAAUAUUCAGAUUGAGGGAUUUCUGGGAGAAAUUCCUGUGUUUUCUUCUUGAUGGGGUCAUCCUGUGCUUGUUGUUUUUCUAUUGAUGCUUUGGUGAUUGGUUUCUCAAUUGAGAUAUACUCAGUUAUUCCCAUUCUUACUCCAGCGUCCUUGCAGAGCAGAGAAAUCAAGCUUGGGUAAGCCAACCUGGCUUCUUUAGAAUUUUUGUUAGCAAUUUUGUAGAAUUCAGUUGAAAUCAGUUGAUGAACUUCCACUUCUUUUCCCAUCAUGAUGCAAUGGAUCAUCACUGCUCUUUAACAUUGACUUCAGAACGGUUGCUAGUGGGCAGCAGAGAAUGCCCAAUGAAGUCCAGCCAGCCUCUGGCCACUGGUUUGAGAUCUUCUCUUUUGAGUUGAUUAGGAACACCCUUCGUGCUGGUGGUCCACCUGGCUCCAGGGAUGCAUAUGUCUUCUAGAAUCUUAUCCAGGCUCUUGUUUGUUCUCAUCAUUCUCCUAUUGAAGGAGUCUGGAUCAUCUUUCAGCUGAGGUAGCUUUAAGAUCUCUCUGAUCUUGUCAGGGUGGGUAUGAAUAAUCUUUCCUCUGACCACGGUUCGAUAGUCAUAGAUAUCAGAUCCAGAUAGUCUUUGCCUGUCUGUAUGCCACAUAUUAGCAUAGAACUCCUGGACCAUAUUCCUUCCCACUUUCGUUUCAGGAUUAGCUAGGACCUCCCAAUUCCUGAUUCGAAUUUGCUCCUGGAUCUCUGGAUAUUCGUCUUCUUUCAGAUCGAAUCUAACUUUCGGGAUCACUGAUCUUAGACCCAUUAUUUUAUAAUAAUGGUCUGAAUGUUCUUUAGAUAAGAACUUCCCUUGAUUCCAAAGUGGUUUUGGAACGCUCUCUUUCUUUCCUCUUGAAGUGGGUUGUUUUCCCUUAAGAGCCAUGCUCUUAGUGAUCACGGAUAAACACACCAAACUUAGAGGUUUGCUUGUCCUCAAGCAAAAGAAAAGAAAGGAGAGGGAUAGAAGGAGAGCUAGGUGCAAUUGUUGAUGGAGGAGGGUGGAGGCCGAACCCAAUCACAUAUGGUCCCCUCCACCGGGACUUCAAUUUUCCGGGGAAUAGCCUGAGCCUAGAGUUGAACAACAGAACCUUUUGUCAUGGUUCAAAGAUUCUAGAUGACAGCUUUCUGUCAUGCCACUUGUUUUAUUUUUCUUUAUAAAGCUUUGCAUUUUCGAAAGCAGUGAAUCUGAAUUCCUCUAGCUCAUUUGGCGAAUUCCAUAUCGAACCAUGGCAGAGUAAAGCUGUUUAUUGGAGAAGUGAGUGCCCCCAUCACUGAUUAGUACUCUAGGGACCCCAAACCUGCUGAAGAUAUUUUUCUGGAGGAACUUCAGCACUGUUUUAGUAUCAUUGGUGUGUGUGGCAAUGGCCUCAACCCAUUUUGAUACAUAGUCAACUGCCACCAGAAUAUAAGUGUUUGAGAAUGAUGGUGGGAAAGGUCCCAUGAAGUCAAUUCCCCAUACGUCAAACAACUCAAUCUCCAAAAUUCCUUGUUGAGGCAUGGCGUAACCAUAAGGCAGAUUACCAGCUCUUUGGCAACUGUCACAGUUACGUACAAAUUCUCGGGAAUCUUUAUAGAGUGUGGGCCAAUAGAAGCCACAUUGGAGGACCUUGGUGGCUGUUCACUCACCUCCGAAAUGGCCUCCAUAUUGAGAUCCAUGGCAAUGUCAUAGGAUCUUUUGUGCUUCUUCUCUAGGAACACACCUACGGAUUAUUCCGUCUGCACAUCUUUUAAAGAGAUAGGGUUCAUCCCACAAGUAGUACUUUGCAUCAGUGAUUAAUUUUUUCUUUUGUUGCCUGUUGUACUCUUUGGGUAUGAACCUUGCAGCUUUAUAGUUUGCAAUAUCGGCAAACCAUGGUAUUUCCUGAAUGGCAAAUAAAUGCUCAUCCGGAAAAGUCUCAGAGAUCUCAAGAAAGGGGAGGGACGUCCCUUCUACUGGCUCUAUCCGGGACAGAUGAUCAGCCACUUGGUUCUCUGUCCCUUUUCUGUCUCUUAUUUCUAUAUCAAACUCUUGCAGAAGCAACACCCAUCUGAUGAGCCUGGGUUUUGAAUCUUGCUUUGUGAGUAGAUAUUUAAGAGCAGCAUGGUCAGUAUACACAAUCACUUUUGAUCCUACUAAGUAUGAUCUGAACUUGUCAAUGGCAUAAACCACUGCAAGUAAUUCUUUUUCUGUGGUUGUGUAAUUUUUCUGGGCAUCAUUUAAAACGUGACUAGCAUAAUAAAUGACGUGCAGAAGCUUGUCAUGCCUCUGUCCCAAUACUGCAUCAAUGGCGUGAUCACUGGCAUCACACAUUAGCUCAAAUGGUAAUGUCCAGUCUGGUGCAGAAAUAAUUGGUGCUGUGACCAGCUUAGCUUUCAGCGUUUCAAACGCCUGCAGACACUCUGUGUCAAACACAAAUAGCGUGUCAGCAGCUAGCAGAUUGCUUAGAGGUUUUGCAAUUUUUGAAAUAUCAUUUAUAAACCUCCUAUAGAGUCCUGCAUGUCCCAAAAAGCUUCUGAUUGCCUUAACAUUGGCAGGUGGUGGUAAUUUUUCAAUUACCUCUAUUUUUGCUUGUUCCACCUCUAUCCCCUUGUUUGAGAUUUUAUGCCCAAGGACAAUCCCUUCAGUCACCAUGAAGUGACAUUUUUCCCAGUUUAAAACUAGGUUGGUCUCUUGGCAUCUCUUCAAAACAAGUUUCAGGUGAUCAAGACAGGAGCCAAAUGAGUCUCCAUAUACUGAGAAGUCAUCCAUGAAGACUUCCAGAAAUUUUUCCACCAUAUCAGAGAAAAUAGAGAGCAUGCAUCUCUGGAAGGUUGCAGGCGUAUUACACAGCCCAAAUGGCAUCCUUCUAUAAGCAAACACUCCAGAUGGACAUGUGAAUGCUGUUUUCUCUUGAUCUUGGGGAUCUACUGCAAUCUGGUUAUAGCCUGAGUAGCCAUUCAAAAAGCAGUAAUAAUCAUGACCUGCUAGUCUCUCUAGCAUCUGGUCUAUGAAUGGUAAAGGAAAAUGAUCCUUUCUGGUGGCUGUAUUGAGCCUUCUGUAGUCAAUACACAUGCGCCACCCUGUAACUGUUCUUGUAGGAACCAGUUCAUUUUUUUCAUUAUGAAUCACUGUCAUGCCUCCCUUUUUUGGGACGACUUGGACAGGGCUCACCCAGGGGCUAUCUGAAAUAGGAUAAAUAAUCCCAGCCUCUAGUAAUUUGGUGACCUCUUUCUGCACCACUUCCUUCAUGGCUGGAUUUAGCCGCCUCUGUGGUUGAACCACUGGUUUAGCAUUAUCCUCCAAUAAGAUUUUUUGCAUGCAUUUAGCUGGGCUUAUGCCCUUAAGGUCACCUAUGGACCACCCAAGAGUUGUCUUGUGUGUCCUUAGCACUUGAAUAAGUGCUUCCUCUUCCUGUGGGUUUAAAGCAGAGCUUAUGAUCACUGAAAAAGUAUCACCUUCUCCCAGAAAUUCAUAUUUUAGGGAUGGUGGUAAUGGUUUGAGCUCGGGUUUAGGAGGUUUUUCCUCUUCCAGAGAAAAUUUCAGAGGCUCUUUAAUCUCCUCUGAAUCCUCCAAAUCAGGCUGAGCAUCUUUAAAGAUGUCUUCCAACUCUAAUUCGAGACUCUCAGCCAUGUUGAUCUCUUCUACCAAAGAGUCGAUAAGAUCAACUUUCAUGCAGUCUUUUGGUGUGUCUGGAUGCUGCAUGGCUUUGACAGCAUUCAACUUAAACUCAUCAUCAUUAACUCUCAGGGUUAUUUCCCCCUGUUGGACAUCAAUGAGGGUUCGUCCAGUUGCUAGGAAGGGUCUUCCUAAAAUGAGAGUAGCACUCUUGUGCUCCUCCAUUUCCAGCACUACAAAGUCAGUGGGAAAGGUGAAUGGCCCAACUCUGACGAUCAUGUCUUCAAUCACGCCUGAUGGGUAUUUAAUGGAGCCAUCAGCAAGUUGGAGACAUAUCCGGGUUGGUUACACUUCUUCAGUUAAACCAAGCUUUCUGAUANNNNNNNNNNNNNNNNNNNNNNNNNNNNNNNNNNNNNNNNNNNNNGCCAGUCUUGAGCAUGGUCUGGGCGUUCAGCGCCAGCCUUCCACCCAACUUCUGGCGUUUUAGUGCCAGAAUUAUUUUUCCUUGGGCUCUUACUGUCCUCAGAUGGAUUUUGGGUGGUUUGCUCAUUUCUUGGUUUCCUGCUGCCUUGAAGUGGGGAAUUUAGUGCUUUCCCACUUCUUAAUUGAACUGCUUGGUAUUCUUCUGUUAUUUGUUUUGACAGCUGCUGCUUUGUUUGCUUUAAUUGUACUUUCAUGUUUAUAUUAGCCAUCCUUGUCUCUUGUAGUUUAUCCUUGAAUUUGGCUAACUGCUUUGUUAGAAAGUCCAAUUGCUGAUUGAAUUCAUCAGCUUGUUUUACAGGGCUGAGUUCAGCAGUUACUGUUUGAACCUCUUCUUUCAGAGGGGUCACUGCUUAGGUACAGAUGCUGAUUCCUGGCAACUGUAUCAAUGAGCUCUUGAGCCUCUUCAAUUGUCUUUCUCAUGUGGAUAGAUCCACCAGCUAAGUAAUCUAGAGACAUUUGAGCUCCUUCUGCAAGCCCAUAAUAGAAGAUGUCUAACUGAACCCACUCUGAAAACAUUUCAGAGGGGCAUUUUCGUAGCAUCUCUCUGUAUCUCUCCCAGACAUCAUAAAGAGAUUCAUUAUCUCCUUGUUUGAAGCCUUGGAUGUCCAGCCUUAGCUGUGUCAUCCGUUUUGGGAGAACGUAUUGAUUCAGGAAUUUUUCUGUCAGCUGUUUCCAUGUCCUUAUGCUGGCCUUAAGUUGGUUAUUUAACCACCUCUUAGCUUGAUCUUUUACAGCAAACGGAAACAAUAAUAGUCUGUAGACAUCCUGAUCUAUUUCCUUAUCAUGUACUGUGUCAGCAAUUAAAUUUUGAAAAAAAAUCUGAAUUUUUAGAAAAUAAUUUUCGAAAAUUUGUUUUAGAAAUAGAGAGAAAAGAUAUUUUUUAAUUUAGUGAGGAAAGAGAAAAACAAUAAAAUAGCACAAGAUUUAAAAUUUUUUUAGAUCUAAUGCUCCUAGUUUUCGAAAAUUUUGGGGGGAAAACACCAAGGAACACCAAACUUAAAAAUUUUAAGAUCAAGACACAAGGAAAACUCAAGAACACUUUGAAGACUCAUAAGAACACAAGAACAUGAAGGAAGAACACCAAACUUAAAAUUUUUUAGAAAACCAAACUAAAAUUUUCGAAAAACACAGAAAAAUUAACAAGAAAACACCAAACUUAAAGUUUGGCACAGAAUUUAAUAGAAAAAUUAUUUUUUGAAAAAGAUUUUUAAUAAAACUGGUGCCCAAUCAUCAAGAACAUAAACCAACACUCUAGCCAAUUGGGCAAUAAAUGUAACACUUGUUUUGAAGAAGUAUAUUUUUUUUUUGAAAAGAAAAUAAAAGACUCUGACCCAAAAGACAAAAAUUUCCUAAUCUAAGCAACAAAAUUCACCGUCAGUUGUUCAAACUCAAACAAUCCCCGGCAAUGGCGCCAAAAACUUAGUGCACAAAAUUGUUACUCUCUUACAAUUUUGCACACAUGACCAGCAACUGCACUGGGUCGUCCAAGUAAUACCUUACAUGAGUAAGGGUCGAAUCCCACGGAGAUUGUUGGUUUGAAGCAAUCUAUGGUUAUCUUGUAAAUCUUAGUCAGAAAGCCAAUUAUGUUUAUCAGUUUAAAUAGUGGAAAAUAAAGGAGUGCGAAUUAAAUACUUGUUGUGCAGUAUUGGAGAAUAUGUUGGAGUAUUGGAGAUGCUUUGUCCUUUGAAUCUCUGCUUUCUCCCUAUCUUCUUCUUCACGCACGCACGUCCCUCCUAUGGCAAGCUGUGUGUUGGAGGAUCACUGUUGUCAAUGGCUACCAUCCUUCCUUUCAGUGAAAAUGGUCCAGGUGCGUUGUCACCGCACGACUAAUCAUCUGUAGGUUCUCAAUCAUACCGGAAUAGGAUUCGCUAUCCUUUUGCGUCUGUCACUACACCCAGCACUCGCGAGUUUGAAGCUCGUCACAGUCAUCCAAUCCCAGAAUCCUACUAGGAAUACCACAGACAAGGUUUAGACUUUCCGGAUUCUCAAGGAUGUUGCCAAUGGAUUCUAGCUUAUACCACGGAGAUUCUGAUUAAGGAAUCUAAGAGAUAUUCAUUCAAUCUGAUGUAGAACGGAGGUGAUUGUCAGACACACGUUCAUGGAUUGAGGAAGGUGAUGAAUGUCACGGAUCAUCACCUUCUCCAUAAUUAGGCGCGAAUGGAUAUCUUAGAUAGGAACACGCAUGUUUGAAUGGAAAAUAGAGAUACUUGCAUUAAUUCAUCGAGGCACAGCAGAGCUCCUCACCCCCAACAAUGGAGUUUAGAGACUCAUGCCGUCAAAAGGUACAAAGUUCAGAUCUAAAAUGUCAUGAGAUACCAAAUAAAUCUCUAAAAGUUGUUUUAAAUACUAAAUUGGUAACCUAGGUUUACAGAAAAUGAGUAGACUAUGACAGAUAGUGCAGAAAUCCACUUCUGGAGCCCACUUGGUGUGUGCUGGGGCUGAGACUGAAGCUUCUCACAUGCCUGGGCUGUUUUGGGCAUUCAACGCCAGGUUGUAACCUGUUUCUGGCGUUGAACUCCACUUUGUAACUUGUUUCUGGCGCUGGACGCCAGACAGCAGCAUGGAACUGGCGUUGAACGCCAGUUUACAUCGUUUAUCCUUGAGAAAAGUAUAGACUAUUAUAUAUUGCUGGAAAGCCCUGGAUGUCUACUUUCCAACGAAAUUGGAAGCGCGCCAGUUGAAGUUCUGUAGCUCCAGAAAUUCCAUUUUGAGUGCAGAGAGGUCAGAAUCCAACAGCAUCAGCAGUCCUUUUUCAGCCUGAAUCAGAUUUUUGCUCGGCUCCCUCAAUUUCAGCCAGAAAAUACCUGAAAUUACAGAAAAACACACAAACUCAUAGUAAAGUCCAGAAAUAUAAAUUUUGUCUAGAAACUAAUGAGAAUAAACUAAAAACUAACUAAAAUAUACUAAAAUCUAUGUGAAAUUAACCCCAAAAAGCGUAUAAAAUAUCCGCUCAUCAGAACAAUCCUUAACUUAUAAUUUUACUUAUUCACUUGAAUAUGGUUUGCUUGAAACAGAUGGCCAGCUUAGAGCUCUCUGCGGCUUUAAGAGUAAGAGGGAAAUGGCUCGUAUUCAGAGCUGGUGCACCAGGUUCAAUAAGGUUCCACGCUUCACCUCGAAGUACACGGAUUGGUAUCGUGCUCAAUUGCAUGGAUCACGGAGGAUGUUUGGUCGCCACGGUGAGAUUCUACUCUUUAACCUGCCCGAAUGGAAACUUACAAAUCAAAACGGAGGCGGAUCUAAAAACACAGCUUGGGAUCAUGGAUUAUGUUCUGACAUUCGUCAUCCCGGGAGGCUGGAUAUCUGUUUAAAGCUGCGCAGAAGCUUUACAUGCUUAGUUUGGGACCCCGGAGGCUAUUGGCAUUCCAAGCACUGGUGGAGAUUUUUAGACGAAUUUAAACACAAGCCACCAUAACAGGAUACUUUUCCAAUGUCCAACUUAAGGACUUUAACUAAAAGUGCUAGGUGGGAGACAACCCACCAUGGUAUGGUCGCUUCUUUUUCAAUUUAUUUCUUGUUAAUUGCUUUCAAUUUUUCCUUUUUCAUUUUAAUUUAUUAAACCUGGAAUCAUGCAUAAGCAUCCAUGAUAGUCAUUGCAUUCUGCACUUUUCACACAUAAAAAAAAAAAAGUGGUUGCACGACGCGACCGCAUGCCCCAUGCGAUCGCGUCAUAUCGCGAAAAACACCACUCAUGCGACCGCGUGACCCACGCGGCCGCGUGAUAUAUAUAUUGGUGUAAGGAUCCAACGAACAGAAAGUUGGGCUAGAAUCGUGCGGCCCUUGUGCGUUUCGCACAAAUUGGCCCACGCGAUCGCAUGCCCCAUGCGAUCGCGUCACUUACCCAAUACCAAUCCCACGCGACCGCGUGAGCGACGCGAUCGCGUCGCGUGGAUUGCACAUCGCCCCAAAAGGAGACAGAGAGUUGCCGCCGCCGCAGCCACCUUCUUCCCUGUUCCACCCCUUCCGCUUACCAGGUUCCGCAACACGCAACCAUUUUUUUAUCUGUUCGUCACUUUUCUAUAUUUUUUAUUCCGUUUAUGUUCAUAAUUAGGAUAGUUAGACUUGCAUGUUGUAGUGGAUUUUUAGGUUGUUAAGUAGCAUAGGCUGUGGUUAGUGGAUCUAGGUCUGUUUACUUGCACUGUUCUUACUUCUGUUUUACCCUAUGUGCAAAUCUAUUGCUGCUAUAAUCAUGAUUCAUAUGCUGCUUUCUUGUACGUUGCUGCUGUUUACAUUGAGUUUUUAUGUUUAUUUUAUAUCUAUGUACAUGCGGCUUGAUUUUUUUUUAAUUCAUAUGAACUGAUUAAAUUGCUGUUUAUUUUUCGGGACAAUCCAAUUUUAGCCGGAAUGCUACCCAAAUUUUUUUUAAAUUAUUUUCGUUCAUGUUUUGGUUUUGCAUUUCUGAAAUCUGUUUUACUUUGUUUUACCCAAACCUUUACAUGCAUGCUAUGGCAGACUUUCUCAUCCUUUUUGAUUUCCUAGUUCAUAAACUGCUUGUUCAAUUAUGAGUACUUCUAUUCUUACCUGUGAAUCCUUGUUACAUGGAAUUUUUCUAUGCCACUUACCUUCCUAACUCACUGAUUUUAAAUUACUAAUUUCUUUUUCAAAUCCUAACCAUACCAACCCUUUUGGUCACUUUUCUGAUUAUUUUCCCUUUCCUCUAACUUUCUAACCAUGGCAUAUUGCUUAUUUUUUUCCAUUUAACAUAAAUUCAAUCUCAUUUCAUAUACUCAUUUUCCUUAUUCUAUUCAUCCCUUUCCGCUUUGAGUUUCCUUUAUUUAAAUUGCCUAUUUGCUUUCCUAUUUUUUUUUAUCCAUUCCUGAUUUUCUGUUUUUCAGGAUGUCUGCCUCACACAGGAAAGGCAAAGGCAAGGCCACUGGCAAGCGCAAGAGAGGAGAUUCCUCCCAGUCCAUCAUUUCUCUAAUGCACGAUACCUCAUGGCGGGAGAAGAACUUCACACCACAGGAGAAAGCUAACCAGCUACUUCCUGCAAAUGAUCCUAUAAAAUUUGCAAACCGGUACUGUGAACUGAAGUACCCGACUUUCGCAAACUCCAGAAAUCUAUACCUGGAACGUACCUUGAAGAUUCCAGAAGCCCUCCAGCAGUACACUACUGAGCAAAUCAAGCAAAGGGGCUGGUACUUUCUGGAGAGACCACUGACAGAGAUCAAUGCAUCUUGGGUCCGGGAAUUCUAUUGCAACUACUACCUUACUACCCUAGAUGCAGUGAACCUGAGGGGAAAGCAAAUUCUGAUCACUGAGGAGGCCAUAGAGACCAUUCUCCAGCUCCCAGCCAAGUCCGAUCAGCCAGAUGGUUUUGCACAGGCUGAGGAGGACAUGGGCCAGAUGCAGUUUGACUGGGAUGCCGUAAAGGCACGGAUAGCUCUCGACCCUGCUGUUCCUUGGGAGAUGGGUCAGAACACCACUAUGCCUAGAGGGAUCAAGAGAGUGUACUAAAAUGAUGAGGCUUGGCUAUGGCAUCAGAUCUUGAGUAAUUUUGUGAUGCCGAGUACUCACGAGACGGAGAUCCCGGCUACCAUGAUCACCCUCCUUUGGUGUGUGCUGGAGGGUAAGGACAUAUACUUACCUCGUUUUAUCCGGCAUUAUAUGGCCAGGGCCCACGUACGAGGCACCCUCCCCUUUCCUUACCUGGUUACACGGCUAGGCCGUCAGGCUGAUGUGCCUUGGGAGGAUGCCGAUGAGAGACCAUCAGUAGCAGACUGCAGGAAGAUCAUCCCGCACAGUAGGAACUUCCUUGCUUUGGGCUACAGACCACCACCUGUCACUGCUACUGAUGAGACAGCCCCUCCGUCUGCUGGACCCUCUUCAUCCACAGCUGCCCCAGCUGCCCCUGCUACCACCACUGCACCUCCACCCGCCUCUGAGCCGGUCUAUCGCCUCGUGCACCAUCUAUUCCGCCAGCUUGAUCAGAUGGAGCGCCGUAACAGGCGCCGGUAUGAGAGAUUAGAGCGCCGCAGUAGGCGACGCUAUUCCCAUCUGAAGCUGAUGAUCAGACAGGGCGCCGACAUCCUCUCCGAGCCUGACACCCCUUCAAAGCCAUCAGAGGAUGAGCACGAGGAGGAGGAUGAGCACGAGGAGGAGCCUCAUUCCCAGGCGGAGACUCAUCAGCAGGCAGCCAUAGAGCAGGCUACCCCACAUCAGGAGGUUAUGCCCCAGAUAGAGGCUGCAGAUCCGGAGAUCCUGCUCCAGUCUGUCCCACCUCCACAGCAGCCAGACCCCCAGCCCACCACCGCCACAGAGACCUCAGGUACCAUCCCUACCAUUGAUGACACUCCUUCACACCAGGCUUGAUUGAGCAUCGAGGACGAUGCUUCAUUUUAAGUGUGGGAAGGUCGCCAUCUCUGGCGUUUAUUUUGGUGAACCACUACAUACUUUUUCUUUUAUUUUGGAUAUUUUUCUGUAUUUUUGUCUUUUCCUUUUAUUGUUAUUUUCCUGUGAGUCUUGAGCUUAAAUUGUAUGGUUGCAUUCAAACCAUAAUUUCAUUUCUGUGUGUCACAUUUCUUUUUAUUCUGAUGUUCUUUACUUUGCUUUAAUUUAUAUGUCCAAUUAUAGAAUAUAGAAUAGAUACAUACCAAGAGAAUGAUUGAGGCCAUCAUUUGAUUUUAGCUCACUCACCCCAAAUCAGCCUACCUUUUACAUCACCCUUGUUAACCCUCUUGAGCCUUUUUAAAACCCCUUUAUUCUAUUUAGCCAAAUUACUAGCCUUAAGCAGAAAAACAAGGAAAAUUCCAAGUGAAUCCUUAGUUAGCUUAAGAUAGAAAAUUAUAAAUAGAGUUAAAUGUGGGAAACCUUUUGGGAACAUGGAUGAUAGAAACAAAAGGGUAGAAAAAGUAAAAAGGAAUAAAAUAAAAUUUGGGAAGCAUGCUCAUAAGAAAAUCUAAGUGAUUUAAUUAUCAUGUGCAUAAAAAAAAAGGUUAUUUUUCAGCAUCUAAAUAAAAGGGAAUACAAAAAGGAAAUUCCCCAAUGAAAACAAUGCACAUGGAAUAGAAAAAAAUAAAAUAAAAAGUGAAACAUGAGCAUGUAACAAUAAGUGGGAAAUUAUGGGAAUUUAGGUAAAGAAAUUUUAUUUUACUAGAUGUGUAUGUUAGGUGAGAUCUUAGUCUAAUUGAGGAUUCACUUAUUAGCUCACUUAACCCUAUACAUAAAUCCUUACCUUUACCUUGGCCCCAUUACAACCUUAAUUAAGACCUCAUGACUUUUUGGUAUGACUAUAUUCUAUAAUUGUUGAUUGGUUAGAUGAAAAACAAAGCUGUAGAAAUUAAGAAUAAAAAGAAAAAAUAGAGUGAAUAAACCCAAUAAACACUGAGUGACUAGAGAGUAAACACAAAAUCCAGUGAGGGUUCAAUAACUCAUCAACAUAUAUCUGUGCUCAAAAUUUACUAAUUGUUUUGCAAGUUUGUACAAAGUUUUCUUUCCCAUCUCAUUUGCUAAAAUGCUUUGUUAUUUAAGGGUUAGCUAUAUAUAUAUAUAUAUAUCUCUCUCCUUGAGAAUAACUUGACUACAUGUAGGCUUUAUAUAUGAGUGGAUGAAUUAGAAUUGCAUGACUCAUUAGGUAGAUGCAUUUAGCAUAGGUUGCAUUUCAUAACAUUCCAUCACUUUAACCUUAAUUAUUUACCUUGGAUUUAGCAUGAGGACAUGCUAGUAUUUAAGUGUGGGGAGGUUGAUAAACCCAUAUUUCAUGAGUUCUUUUGUACUUAAUUAGAGUGGUUUAUUCAACUCUUCACCUACUUAUUCACAUUAAUUGCAUAGUUUUACUUUCCCUUCCUUAUUAUGUCAUGUAAUGAAAAAAACAUGUUUUUUAAGCUUUAAAAAUUAAUUAUUUUAAUUACCUUUAUUUCCAUUUGAUGCCGUGAUUAGUGUGUUGAGUAGUUUCAGAUUUCCUAAAGGCAGAAUGACUUAAAGGAUGAAAAAAAAACAUACUAGAAUGGAAGGAGGAAGCAAGACGGAGCUUUAAAGAAACUGGUAUCCACGCGAUCGCAUGGAUGACGCGAUCGCGUGCCAAGCACGAAUCAGCAGCGACGUGACCGCAUGCCUGACGCGACCGCGCGCCUCAAGCAGAAUAUACAUGACGCGGUCACAUGACUGACGCGACCACGUGGCAAGGAAAAGCUCCGAAUGACGUGACCGCGUGAUCCACGCGGACGCGUGACAGAGGCCACGCACCAGAAAUUACAGAAUACGCCCCCAGCGAAUUCUGAAGCUCUUUUUGGCCCAGAUCCAAGUACAGACAGCAUAGACCAGAGGUUAUAAAGUGUGGGAAUGCUUCCAUUCAAAGAGAGCUCGCAUAUAUUUUCACCUUUCAAUGAUUUAGAUUUAGUUGAGAGGGAGAUCUUCUCUCUCUCUCUUUAAGGUCAAUUUAAUUAGUCCCUUGACUUUCCUUUGCUCCGGUAAAGGUUGACCAAGUGGAAUUAAGAUACAACUUUCAUUAUUGUUGAGAAGGGUAACUAAGUUGGACUUCUAAUUUUCCUUAUCUUGCCAAAAGUUGUUUUACAGUUAUUUUUUUUUUUACUUGCCAUUUAAUUCACUCGUCAUUUAAAUUACUUGCUUCUCACCUUCUAAACCCCGAUUACAACCUUUAUAGCCAAUAAUAAGAACACACUUCCUCGCAGUUCCUUGAGAAGAUGACCCAAGGUUUGAAUACUCGGUUAACAAUUUUUAAAGGGGUUUGUUACUUGUGACAACCAACACGUUUGUAAGAAAGGUUGAUUGCUUGGUUUAGUAACUAUACUCACAACGAGAGUUUUUAUAACCUCUAAACCAUCAAUCUUCUUGCUCUUUCACUGGCUCCAGUCUGGUCCUCUCACAAUUGGAGCUUGAGUCAGGGCGGUCUUCAGCUUAUCAAACGCUUGUUUGAAAUCUUCACUGAACUCGAACUCAAUAUCCUUCUACAGUAGUCUGGAUAAGGGAAGUGCUACCUUACUGAAGUCCUUAAUGAAUCUCCUAUAAAAACCUGCAUGGCCAAGGAACGAGCGGACUUCCCUCACAGAAGAGGGGUAAGGUAAAUUGGAAAUAACAUCCACCUUUGUUGGAUCUACAGAAAUGCCAGUAUUAGACACAACAUGUCUUAGUACAAUCCCUUGUUUAACUAUAAAGUGACAUUUUUCAAAAUUUAAUACAAGGUUUGUACUGACACAUCUAUCUAAUACUCUAGAUAAUCCAUCUAAGCAAAGGCUAAAGGAAUCGCCAUAAACACUAAAAUCAUCCAUAAAAACUUCCAUACAGUGCUCAAUAAGAUCAGAGAAAAGACUCAUCAUGCACCUUUGGAAGGUAGCUGGUGCAUUGCACAAGCCAAAGAGCAUCCUCUUGUAAGCAUAAGUCCCAAAAGGACAUGUAAAAGUAGUCUUUUCCUGAUCCUCAGGAGCUAUAUGAAUCUGGAAAUAACCUGUGUAACCAUCUAGAAAAUAAUAAUGUGAUUUACCUUAUAGGCAAUCCAGCAUUUGAUCAAUGAAUGGAAGAGGAUAGUGAUCCUUACGGGUUGCUUGGUUGAGGCGUCUGUAAUCAAUGCAGACCCGCCAAGCGUUAUGUACUCUGGUUGCUAUGAGCUCUCCAUGCUCAUUUUUCACUGUAGUGACUCCAGACUUCUUUGGCACUACUUGUACUGGACUUACCCAUUCAUUGUCUGAGAUGGGAUAGAUGAUAUCUGCCUCCAGUAGUAUGGUCACUUCCUUUUUGACAACCUCUAAGAUAGUGGGGUUCAGUCUUCUCUGGGGUUGACGAACGGGCCUUGCUCCCUCUUCUAAAAAUAUUCAACUGCUCUUCUUGUUGAGAAGUGAGUUCUCUUGCAAUGAUAACUGGACACUGUUGCUUGUCCUCAAGGUAAGCAUAUUUGAGGUGUGGAGGAAGGGGUUUCAAGUCUAACUUCUGAUCAUGGUCAGGCUCUGGGUUGUCUGGAGCUGGUAACAAUGGUAAAGCACUGUCAUUGUCCUCUGAGAAUGUCCCCACACUUGGACCUUGUCCUGUGUGCUUCUCCUCUAAUUCCUCCUGGUGAACUUCAGCUACAGUUUUAUCUAUAAUGUCACACUGGAAGAUAUAAUGAUCUUCUGGAGAGUGCUUCAUAACUCCAUUCAGAUUGAAACUUACUAAUCGGCCAUCUAUUUCAAAAGAGUAUGUUCCUAAAAAAGCAUCCAAUUUGAACUUAGAUGUCUUCAGGAAUGGUCUUCCAAGUAGGAUUGAUGAUGGCUUCUCUGAGUCAUUUUGGGGCAUCUCCAGAAUAUAAAAAUUAGUGGGGAAUGUGAGUCCCUUAAUGCUCACUAAUACAUCUUCAGCAACUCCAACCACUGUAAUAAUGCUUUUAUCUGCUAACACAAAACGAACUGCCGACCUUUUUAAGGGAGGGAGCCUCAAAAUAUCAUAUAUAGACAAAGGAAUUAUACUCACACAUGCUCCUAAAUCACACAUGCAGUCAGAAAUUAUCACACCACCAAUAGUACAAUUAACCAUACAAGGACCUGGGUCACUACACUUCUCAAGUAAACCACCCAUUAAAGCAGAUAUGGAACUACCUAAAGGAAUAGUUUCUAAUUCAUUAAUUUUGUCUUUAUGUAUAUAUAAAUCUUUUAGAAACUUUCAUAUUUAGGUACCUGUUGAAUAACAUCAAAAAGAGGAACAGUUACCUCAACUUUUUUGAAUAUCUCUACCAUUUUGGGAUCAGGUUCCAGCUGCUUCCUGGGCUUCCUUGCAAGUUGUGGAAAUGGGAUAGGAGUGGUGUCUUCUGCAGUAUCUGCGCCCUGUGGUGCUUCCUCCUGUGGUUGAACUUCUUCUUUUUCAUCUAUGUCCUGUGUGUCCUCUUCCUCUUCAGCAUCUUCUAUUUCCACUACCUCUUCAGCUGAGGCGUGUUCUGGUAGGCUUGGCUCCUCCUGAUUCCUCUCCUGCAGUGUGGUUUCGGACCUCAGGGUGAUGGCAUUAAUGCCACCCUUGGGAUUGGGUAAUGGUUGAGAAGGGAUUCCACUGAAGCUCAAAGGCUGGUUAUUGGAGUUAUUCAUUGAUCCAAUCUGUGAGACAAGAGCUUGCAGAGUAGCGUUCAAACCAUUUAGAGUGGCAUUAAUGUUAUUUUUCAUGGUCUGUUGUCUCCGAUCAAUGGAUUGUAGUAAAUCAUCAUUAGAAGAUGAGGAAGGAUAAGUAAUUUGAGAGGUCUGCUGUUGGGUAUUCUGUGGUCCUUGGGACUAUCUCAGGUGAGGUGCUCUGUAAGGCUGGUUCUGGUUCUGCUGCCUGUUGUUGUUAUUAUUCCACCUUUGAUUUCCUUGAGUGUCUCUGCCUCCUCUGUUGUUGUUUUUGUCCCUCCAAUUCUAGUUAGAAUUGUCCUUCCAUCCAUGGUUGUAGUUGCCACCUUGAUUGUACCCUUGGUUGGGGCGGUCAUAGAAGUUAUGAGUGGCUGCCACGGUGUUGUCUUCCUGCUGGAGCUGCAGACAUUCAUCAGUAUAGUGGCUAUAAUCAGCACAGAUUUCACAAACUCUCUGUGGGACUAACUAUUGGCCUUGCUGUGGUGGAGAGGGUUGAGCUUGCUGAACUUGUUGUUGAUUCAAUUGCAUCUGCUUCAGCAAGUUGGUCAUUUCACAGAUACUCUGAGUCAAAGCAGCAGUCUCUCUGCUAGAGGAUACUUCUGCAACGGCUUUUGAACGGCCUUGUUUCUGCCUGUGAUUCCGAGUAGAUUCAGCUAAGUCGCUGAUCAAUUGCCAUGCCUCGUCAGUGGUCUUGUACUUUUUCAUAGACCCAUUGCUAGCACUUUCCAAUGUGGUAUUAUCUUGGGGCCUCAUGUCCUGUGUGACGUAACCGAGUAACACUAUCUUGUCAAUCAUAUAGUGGGGGCAUGCUUUCAGAAGAUUAUUAAAGCAACCCCAGUAUCCAUAGAGAGUCUCAGAUUCAUCCUGAACAAUCAUGAAAAUGUCUUUCCUCAGUUUAUCAGUAACUUCAGCUGGAAAGAAUUUUUCCAAGAAUUCUCUUCUCAGUGUAUCCCAGUUGGAUACAGUUGCUGCUGGUUGAGUGUAGUACCACUCUCUUGCCUUCCCCUCAAGAGAAAACGGAAAAGCUUUCAGCAAAAUUGAAGUUUCAUCUGCACCAUCACGCCUAACAGUAGAAUAGGCUGCUUGAAAAUCUCUCAGGUGCUUGAUAGGCUCUUGAGCAGGCAAGCCAUGAAACUUGGGCAUUAAAUUGAGCAGUGCGUUCUUUAAUUCAAAGUCUGUAGUCACCGCUGGGUGAUGUGCUUGAAAUGGUUGCAUUGUAAAAUCAGGGGCUCCAGCCUCCUGGAUAGUAACUCUCCUAGCUGCUGCCAUGUUACCUGCAUGUAAAUCAACUAAAUCAGUAGAACGGGGGUUGGUUUCUUUCUCAAGUGAUGUUUCAGAUCCGCCCUCAGAGAGGACUAACCGACGCCGAGCUUGCCUUAUUCGUGAAAUAGUUCUUUCAAUCUCAGGAUCGAAUACUAGCAAGUUUGGAUCAGAAAGUGAACGCGUCAUCUAACGAAAGAAACAAGCAGCUCAUGGUAGCAAGAUAAAAUAAAAUGUAAAUAAAUAAGAUCCAAUUAAUAACUUUAGCACUCUAUUGUAACUCCCCGGCAACGGCGCCAAAAAUCGAUGUGGCGGAAAUUGGCUAAUUAAGAAUUGAUAUAAGUUGUGCGUUGCAAGUAUAGUUCUUAACCAACCAGAAACCCGCUUAUCAAUUUAGAAGGGUUGUCACACAAAUUAAAAUUAAAAUACUGGGAGUAUGAAUCCCAGGUCGUCUCCCAACGAGUUGUAGAAAGGUGUGCUAUUUUAUUAAUCAGAUAUUUUCAGAAAGAGUUUGAGUUGAAUAAACAGGAAAUUAAAUUGGGGAAAUUAAGUAAUUUAAAUGAAAGCCUUGACUGGGAGUAGAUUAGUUGGAAGCCCUAUUCUUGUUGCAGUACUCUCAAGAUUAAUUGAUAAUUGAAGGUCGUUCUGUUUAGUUAUCCCUUACUAAAUAAGGGAAAGUCAAACAAGUUGGAAUGAUAUUUCUACUCACAAGUCUCAAUCCGCUUACUUGGAAGGAUUGGCGUUAGUUACUAGAGAGCCAUCCAACAAUAAACCCAAUUACAAUUUCUCCUUUGAACAUUCCAACUCAAGGGUUCCUUUCAAUUAACUACCCAUCAAGUCAGGGAACUACUCGCUCAUUGUGAAUGUAGAACUCAUAACAUAGGAAAGGGAAUUAAAGAAAGACAUGAUAAAUAAAACUCAAGAGAAUCAAUUAAAAAUAAAAGUAACUCUUGUAUUAAUAAAUUCUAAAAUAAUCCAAUAGUAAAAUUGAGUAAAUUAAAGGACAUGGAAGAGUAAAGCCAAGUAAAGAAAACGAACUAGAAUGACGAAGUCUUGAUGAGGUAAUAACUCUUCUCGAUAUCCCAAUGCAAAUAACAAUAGAAAAUAAAAAUCCUAAGAACUAUGAGUGAGUAGAGAGAAAACCUAGAGGAAGAGUAAAACUAGAUCUAAAAACUAAAAACUGUGUAGAAUGAAUGUUGUUUUUGGUUUCUGCAUGUUCUCUGGCUCUAGUCUGCUUUUCUGAGCCGAAAACUGGGUCAAAACAGGGCCCAAAAUCGCCCCCAGCGAAUUCUGCAGAUUAUGCAGAUUGCGCAUGUCACGCGAUCGCGUCAUUCAUGCGGACGCGUCAUGCGGCGUUUUGCUUUGACACGCGGGCGCGCCGUCCACGCCUCCGCGUCACUUGUGCUAUUCCAAUCCGCGCGGUCGCGUGAGCCAUGCGACCGCGUCACUGCGAUUUCCUCUCUUCCGCGCGGUCCCGUGAGCCAUGCGGCUGCGUUACUUCUCGCUGGUCAUCUCCUUAAUUUCUUGUGUUUCUUCCAUUUUUGCAAGCUUCCUUUCCAAUCUCCAACUCAUUCAUGCCAUAUAAAGCCUGAAACACUUAACACACAGAUCACGGCAUCGAAUGGAAUAAAGGAGAAUUAAAAUACAUAAUUAAAAGUCUCUAGGAAGCAAGUUUUCAAUCAUGUAAUAAUUUUAGAAAGGAAAUAUAAAUGCAUGCUAAUCAUAUGAAUAAGUGGGUAAAGAUCAUGAUAAAACCACACAAUUAAACACAUUAUAAACCAUAAAAUAGUGGUUUAUCAACGUCCCUCAGAAUUGGUUCAGCUUCUCCUCCUAUACUCUUUGAUUUUAAUGCUUGAAUGAUCUGUAAAUUAUUUGAUUCUAUCAGUACUUUUUUGAAAUGUAGAUUCCUGGCUAAAAUGAUGGCGUUCCUGACUGCUGUAGCCUCUGCUGCUAGGACCGAGCUUGUCACAAUUUUUUCAGUCGUUCCAAUGAGCAGCUGUCCCUUAUUGUCUCUAACCACUGUUGCUGUCGCUCCUUUCCCGGAAUUCGGAUUGAAAGAUGCAUCCACAUUCGUCUUAAUCCAAUCCCCGGGUGGAGGCCUCCAGGUAGCUGCUCUACCUUUCCUUGAAUUGAUUUUUUUAGAAUCAUGUUGUUCCUCUCUGUCUGCUGCUCUGAAUUCAAUUUCUAGUGAGUUUGCUGUGCAAAUUGUAGAACUAGGAUUGAUGUUUAAGUUCUGAAAGUAAGCACCAUUUCUAGUUUUCCAUAUUUUCCAACAUAAGAAGGCUAGUUUGCUGAUCAUGAUCUCCUGGUUUGUGUUAUUGUUUGCUCUAAUUCUUCUCACAUUCAAAAUGAACCAGUUUUUGAAGGUAGAGAUUGAGUUUAUUGAGUGACUGAGCUGGCAUUGUGCCCCAAACCAUGUUGCCCUGGUCCAGGGGCAGAGCAAGAGAGCAUGUUCUGUCGUUUCUAUAUUCUCAUUGCAUAUUUGGCAUAUAGGAUUUUCUGCAAGUUUUCUCUUAUAUAGGUUAGCUCCCACUGGUAGGAUAUCUUGUGCUACCUUCCACAUAAAAAUUUUUAUCUUCUGCGGUACCUGGAGCUUCCAAAUUUCUCUCCAUAUUUCCUUGUCUUCGCCGCUUGUGCUUGGGGUGUUCUGCCUUUGUUCCAGCCCUUCUUUCCUUGCUGCGUGGUAUCCUGUCUUGACUGAGUAGCUUCCAUCUAGUUUAUGCGGCCAGCUAAGCUUGUCAUCCCUGCCUUUAAGACUGAUAGGUGUUCUGAGAAUUCUAUUGCAAACUGCCCUCGAAAAGAUCCUUCUGAUUUUCUCCACAUCCCAUCCCUCUCCCUGCUUUAUCAGGUCCUCUACCAAUUUUACAUCUUGAUUUUGACCCCUUCCAAUUUUCCCCAUACCGUUGAUCCAUAUGUCCUCCCAUAUCUUGAUCAUUUUGCCAUCCCCCACAAUCCAUCUCCCGCUUCUUCUUAAGAAAAUUCUGCCUUGUAAAAUGCUGUUCCAUGCCCAAGAUGAUCCUGCCAUUGACUCUGCCUCCCAGAAGUUGCUAUUUGGAAAAUAAAUGGACUUCAGAAUUCUGACCCAAACUACUUCUGGAUUCUCUAAUAUUCUCCAUGCUUGUUUUGCCAAAAAAGCCAGAUUUUGAUGAUGGAAGUCCUUGAAUCCAAGGCCCCCUUCUUUUUUGCUCUCACAUAUUUUCUCACAUCUUCUCCAAUGUAUGCCCGAUCCCUUUUCAUUUGUCGCCCACCAAAAUUUUGCUACUUUGGCACUAAUUUUGCUGCAAAACCCUUUAGGAAACAGGAUUACAUUCAUGGCAUAUGCCGGUAUGGCUUGAACAACCGCUUUAAUGAGGAUUUCUUUCCCGGCCUGGUUCAACAAAUUUUCUUUCCAACCCUCUAAUUUGUUUGUCACUCUCUCUUCUAUCCAGCUCAAAGCACUACUUUUUGCCCUUCCCCAAUGUGCCGGUAGACUCAGGUAUUUUCCCGGAUUAUCCCAUGCACUCAUUCCCAUCACCUCCUCUAUAUCUACUCUAGCUUGCAAAGGUACUUGUUUUCCGAAAGUAAUUCCUAAUUUUUGGAGGUUUAUUCUCUGACCUAAUGCAUUUGUAUACUUAUUGAGGAUGGAGAUUAUUUGGUAUGCCUCUUCUACAUUAGCCUCUGCCAAUAUAAUACAAUCAUCUGCAAAGAGAAUGUGUGUAAGAGUCGGUGCAGUUGGAGCAAUCUUGAAACCUUUGACCCUUCCUUUCUCUUGUGCCUCUUCCAUCAGGAUCGUGAGAACUUCCGCAGUUAAUAUGAAUAAAUAUGGCGAUAAUGGAUCGCCCUGCCUUAAACCUCUGCCUGGAAUGAUUUUAUUGGACAGGAUCCCGUUCACUUUAAAUCGGUAGGAAGUAGAGCUGACGCAUUCCAUGACUAGCUGGAUCCAUUUUGAAUGAAACCCAAAAGCCUUAAGUACCAAUUCAAUAAAGUCCCACUCCAAGCGAUCAUAAGCUUUGUUCAUAUCAAGUUUGAUUGCCAUGUUUUUAGAAACCUUGCCUCUUUUUUUAUCUAGACUGUGAUACACUUCUUGUACAAUGAUAAUAUUGUCUUGAAUAAGCCGGUUGCUCACAAAUGCACUUUGAAUUGGGGAAAUGAUAGAAUUCAGCAUCUUUUUUAGCCUAUUUACCAUAAUCUUAGUGAUUACUUUGUAUAUGAAGUUGCAGCAACUGAUAGGCCUCAAUUGAUUUAGAUUUUUUGGCCUCUUUAUCUUCGGAAUGAGGACGACUGUUGUUUCGCUAAUUUCUUUGUGCAUUUUUCCAUUCUGAAAAAAGUCCUUAACUACUUCAAGAAUCUCUUUCUUAACAACCUCCCAGUGAUUUUGGAAGAAUUUUCCAUUAAGACCAUCCAAUCCUGGGGCUUUGAGGCCUCCCAUGCUAAAAACUGCCUCCUUGACUUCAUCUUCUCUUACUUCUCUUGUGAGUUCUUCAUUCAUCUCCUCCGUCACCCUUUUUGGAACUUUUUGGAUGCAUUGAUUAAUUCCAUUCCUGGUUGACUUGGUGAAAAGCUUGAAAAAGUGUUCUUCAAUCAGCUUCAUUAUUGCCGAACUGUCAUAUACCCACUUCCCGUUGUUGUCCUUUAAUCUCUCGAGCCUAUUUCUAUCUCUUCUUUGAAUUGUUGUGGCCUGAAAGAAAGCUGUAUUCCUAUCUCCCCAUUUCAGCCACUUCAACCUUGAUCUCUGGCCCAAAACUUUUCUUCUUGCCUCCAUAAUUGCUCUAUCUUCCUUCUGAUUUGUUAUGUAACCUUCAUUCUAAUUCGGGUUCUUUUCUUUUCCCUUAUUUUUGGUUGGACGACCUUAUUUUUAACCUUUUCUUGUUUUGGACAGUUUUUUUUUUUUUUUACCUUUUAGUUGAAAGUGAGAGGCAGAAGUGAAGUAUUGCACUGACUUUACUUUGAGAGGCCCAAUUUCCCUUUUAGUGAAGAACUGCACCAACAUUCAUGGUUUUUUGGACAUAGUAACUUUAUAGCUGUCUCUUUUGGAUCUUAAAGUAUAUAUUGGGCUUCCUAAUAAAAAUGUGCCUAUUGGGCUUCUAAUAAAAUCCUCGAAGACUCAGCGUUCGACCACACAGCAGAGUUUGAGAUCUCUUGCCCUGUUUUCGUAUCUAAGUCCAAGUAAAAAAUUCUGUCCAAAUAAAGAAAAAAGAAAAAAAGAAACCUCAUAUUUUUAGGAUUUAGAUUUUCUAAAGUUUGAAUUUACUUUAGAGAAUAAAGUGUGAUCUCUCACCAUUUAUUUUAUGAGACCAAUAAUAAAUAUGAGAAAGAAACCAUUCAAGAAUAAAAGAUUGAGGAAUGCUAGGAGGACAGCAACUUUUGUGAUUUGUAGCCAUCAAAUAGCCAUCAAUGAUAGUUUUAAUGGUGUAAGAUUGGUGUGAGUUUUUAUCCAAUGACUCACUUUUCUUUGCUGGUUACAUGCUAGCCAGAAUUUAACAAAAUUGCUGGUCCCUAGACUUUUUCUAAAAAAUUAUACUUUACCCUCUAAAAUACAAAUUUAAAAUUUCGAGAAUUCAAAUUCAUAUUUUUAUAUCCAAGUCCAAAUAAAAUUUUCGUCCAUAAUUUGCUCACAAACAACUGCACUACCAUGACCACACAAAAAAGAACAACUGCUCUACGUUCAUUUCCCAGCUAAGAUUAGGAUUUGGUACUAGAAUCCUUGCAUAAAUGAGGAAGAUAUACAUAUAGGUAAUGAUUCAAACAACAUUUAUUGAUUUGAUCAAAUAGGUAAACAAGUUGCACGUACACGCGGACAGAUUUAGCAGUACAUUGGUAUACAACGCAGUAGUAAUAGUAAUAGUAACAGUAAUAAUAAUAAAUAUUAAAAAGGAUCUAUGAAUCCAUUGUAAUGUAACAGAGUCGCAUAUAUGCAAAGUAACUCCUAUAUUACAUUCUUCAUAGUUGACCCCUUCUUCUUCCACAGCAACCUUAGAUGUUUGGCCUCACAUUCAAACGACUUGCUACCUUCUGACCAAGAGAACGAUCAGCCUGAGUCAGGUAUGAGAUCCAAAUGCUGCGGAUUUCAUGGGUCAGACGUUGGUCAGACAAUGCCUCAAUCCAUCUGCGGAUAAAUCUUUCUUGUCUGCCACAAUCAUAAUAAUCCAAUGUUAGGACAUAACAACAUAUAAACAUGCAUGUUAUUAGUUCCACAUUAUACUAUAAUUUGUGAUAAGAUAAUAAGAACCUGUCAGGUGCCCAAGAACGGUAUCUAUCUCCGCCUUCCUUAAAGUUGUUCUCCUUCACAAUUACACUCUGCAUAUAUUAAAAUAAUUUAAUUUGUUAUCAGGAUUAAAAUUCAAACAACUAUUGUCAUCUGAUUGAAGAACUAGCUAACCCUUUCGCGUUGUCCACUAAUAAGAGCACUAGACAUGGGGACCCUUUCUGCGUGACGAACAGGAUCAAACCUUGAAGGGAAGUAGUUCACCUGUCAAAUUUGAACAACCAAACCAACACUAGUUAGUUACAAAUUUAGUUAGCGAAACAGCAUGUAAACUAAAGCAAUUAAUAAAGGUGUGUGUACCUCUUCAUCCCUGUGCAUGAAGUUCAUAAAACCAUCAUGGUGAUUGUUAUGAUGAGCACAUUUUGGAGCAUUAACAGGAAUCUGAAGAUAGUUAGGACCAAGCCUAUGCCUCUGAGUGUCAGCAUAAGCGAAGAUCCUACCUUGAAGCAUCUUAUCAUUGGAGUAGCUAAUACCAGGCACCACAUGCAUACUGAAAGCAAGCAUUUCAUUCUCAGCGAAGAAAUUGUCAAUGUUCUUGUUCAAAACCAAGCGACCAACCGGCUGAAGAGGAAGAAUAUCCUCCGGCCAAGUCUUGGUAGUGUCAAGAGGGUCAAAGUCAAAAUUGUCCUCGUGAUCAGGGUCCAUAGUCUGAAAGUAGAGCUUCCAUUCGGGGUAGUUACCGGCAGCGAUGGAAUCAUACAAAUCUUGCGUUGCGUGGCUGUGGUUGGUUCCUCCGAUGCGAAUGGCCUCUUCUUCUAGAAGGGACUUAACGCCACAAGUUGGCUUCCAGUGAAACUUGACAUACAGAACCUUGCCAGCUUUGUUGAGGAGAGUGUAGGUGUGAACACCGAAACCCUCCAUGUGACGGUAAUUAAUGGGGAUGCCCACGUCAUCAUAGAACCACGUGAAAGUGUUGAAGCUUUCGGGGUGGUGGGAGAGGAAGUCGAGAAUGCGCCAAUUCUCUUGGACGUUGGACUUGGGGUUUGGCUUGAAGGCGUGGAUGACGUCAGGGAAUUUCAUGGCGUCGCGGAUGAAGAAGACGGGGAAGUUGUUGCCGACGAGAUCGAAGUUGCCUUCGCGGGUGUAGAACUUGGUGGCGAAGCCGCGGGGGUCGCGGAUGGUCUCGGGGCUGCCGCGCUCGUGGAUGACGGUGGAGAAACGGACGAUGACGGGGGUUUGCACUCCCGGGGCGCGGAGGAAGUCGGCGCAUGUUAGGUGUGAAACGUCGUGUGUCACUUCGAAGAAGCCCUUAGCGCUAGCUCCCCUCGCGUGCACUACACGCUCCGGGAUCCGCUCCCUGUCGAAGUUUGCAAGCUUCUCCACAAAUUGAUAAUCCUCCAACAGAAUUGG